rnacentral:rRNA from 1 species
AGAGUUCGAUCCUGGCUCAGGAUAAACGCUGGCGGCGUGCUUAACACAUGCAAGUCGAACGAAGUUUUUCUUUCGGGAGGAACUUAGUGGCGGACGGGUGAGUAACGCGUGGGUAACCUGCCCUGUACAGGGGGACAACAGCUGGAAACGGCUGCUAAUACCGCAUAAGCCCUUAGCACUGCAUGGUGCAUAGGGAAAAGGAGCAAUCCGGUACAGGAUGGACCCGCGUCUGAUUAGCCAGUUGGCAGGGUAACGGCCUACCAAAGCGACGAUCAGUAGCCGAUCUGAGAGGAUGUACGGCCACAUUGGGACUGAGACACGGCCCAGACUCCUACGGGAGGCAGCAGUGGGGAAUAUUGCACAAUGGGGGAAACCCUGAUGCAGCGACGCCGCGUGAGUGAAGAAGUAUUUCGGUAUGUAAAGCUCUAUCAGCAGGGAAGAAAAUGACGGUACCUGACUAAGAAGCACCGGCUAAAUACGUGCCAGCAGCCGCGGUAAUACGUAUGGUGCAAGCGUUAUCCGGAUUUACUGGGUGUAAAGGGAGCGUAGGUGGCAAGGCAAGCCAGAAGUGAAAACCCGGGGCUCAACCGCGGGAUUGCUUUUGGAACUGUCAUGCUAGAGUGCAGGAGGGGUGAGCGGAAUUCCUAGUGUAGCGGUGAAAUGCGUAGAUAUUAGGAGGAACACCGGAGGCGAAGGCGGCUCACUGGACUGUAACUGACACUGAGGCUCGAAAGCGUGGGGAGCAAACAGGAUUAGAUACCCUGGUAGUCCACGCGGUAAACGAUGAAUACUAGAUGUCGGGUAGCAAAGCUACUCGGUGUCGUCGCAAACGCAAUAAGUAUUCCACCUGGGGAGUACGUUCGCAAGAAUGAAACUCAAAGGAAUUGACG